CUGGGGCCUGGGAAAGGCACUGUGCUUAGUCCCAGCACCUUCUCCCCAGGACAGGAGGGCUCUCUGGCAGAAAGCUAGUGAAAAAAAGAAAAGAAGGAAAUGUUCUUUAACUCAAGACUUACCUCCCCUGGAGCCAGUCAGAAUUCACACUCCCACCCGGAAUCCAUCUCCCAUUUUCAACCAGAGGCCCUGGAUUGGAGACAUCACCACACCUUCAUGGGACAUCAUCUGCCCUGACGGUACCAUGAGCUGAGCAGUUGUGCGUUCCACCACGAUGUUCUGUGUGACCACCAGACCAGAAAUAACAGUGCCAGGUGACCAUGGACUGAAGCCUCUGAAUCUGUGAGCCAAAAUAAA